rnacentral:rRNA from 1 species
CGGGGGGAGCAAGCGUUGUUCGGAUUUACUGGGCGUAAAGGGCGCGUAGGCGGCACCGCGAGUCGACUGUGAAAUCUCCGGGCUUAACUCGGAAAGGUCAGCCGAUACUGCGGGGCUAGAGUGCAGAAGGGGCAACUGGAAUUCUCGGUGUAGCGGUGAAAUGCGUAGAUAUCGAGAGGAACACCUGCGGCGAAGGCGGGUUGCUGGGCUGACACUGACGCUGAUGCGCGAAAGCUAGGGGAGCGAACGGGAUUAGAUACCCCGGUAGUCCUAGCCUUAAACGAUGAAUGCUUGGUGUCUGGGGUUUUAUAGUCCCCGGGUGCCGUCGCUAACGCUUUAAGCAUUCCGCCUGGGGAGUACGGUCGCAAGACUG